UUGGAGACAGUCAGACGGCCUUUCACAGAGUGGAAAUUAAAUGCAUGCCGCCUGCGUGGAAGGCAGGUCAAUGAACCACCACACCCCGAUGGCGCCUCAUUCUCAUCGAGAAAUUGUGGGAACUAUAACAUAGACAUUAAUGUAGCGGUUUCUUCUCCUGCGCUGUCUGUGUGCAGAUUUCAAUGUCCACGGCUUUCAAAGUGUGAUGAGAACUACUUGAAAUACACACGAAUCCCGUUAAAGAAAGGAACUCAAAAUAGUGUCACUCGAAGAUGGACUGUGAGUUGUAUGAGCAACGUGUUCCAGUGACCUAUCUUUGUUAAACUGAGCUGGAAAGCUUUCUAGUAUGAAGGCAAUGCAGACAGGGCCUUACGCUCCAGCAGAGGCGCCUUUUAUUAUUUGAUCGACGUGUGAAGCAACAACUGGGGACAGCUGGCCGUAAAACCUCAGCAAGGGAAGGAUUUUUACCAAGGAGGGAGAGGUGCACUAAGUGGGUGGUGACAUGAUGGAGGAGGAUGGAAAAAGAAAGAGUGACCGAAUGAGGAGAGUGAAAAGAGGACGAGUGAUAC